GGACCUGACUGCUAUCGGAUUAAUACUAAGCCAUGCGAGUUUUUGUAGUAAUACAAGGCAUACGGCUCAGUAACACGUAGUCAACCUACCCUAUGGACGAGGAUAAUCUCGGGAAACUGAGCAUAAUACCCGGUAGACCACUUCUCCUGGAAUGGUUAGUGGUUAAAAUGAUUCGUCGCCAUAGGAUGGGACUGCGGCCUAUCAGCUUGUUGGUGAGGUAAUGGCCCACCAAGGCGAUUACAGGUACGGGCUCUGAGAGGAGAAGCCCGGAGAUGGGUACUGAGACAAGGACCCAGGCCCUAUGGGGCGCAGCAGGCGAGAAAACUUUGCAAUGUGCGAAAGCACGACGAGGUUAAUCCGAGUGAUUUCUGCUAAAGGAAUCUUUUACCAGUUCUAAAAAUACUGGCGAAUAAGGGGUGGGCGAGUUCUGGUGUCAGCG
rnacentral:rRNA from 1 species